rnacentral:misc_RNA from 1 species
AAGACUAUAGACCUGCGGAGUACCUGCGGAAGGAUCAUUACCGAGUUUACAACUCCCAAACCCUAUGUGAACGUUACCAAACUGUUGCCUCGGCGGGAUCUCUGCCCCGGGUGCGUCGCAGCCCCGGACCAAGGCGCCCGCCGGAGGACCAACCAAAAACUCUUUUGUAUACCCCCUCGCGGGUUUUUUAUAUCUGAGCCAUCUCGGCGCCUCUCGUAGGCGUUUCGAAAAUGAAUCAAA